CCACCAGGCAGUGUAUUGAGCUGAGAGGUUGCGCUAGGAACCUGGGAGUCUAUAGUUACAGGCAACCCGUAGCUCUCACCAGCUGUGGUUUCCAAGCGCAUUGUGAUGUUUCAGAAAGGAAAAGGUUUGGCCUGGGUGAUUACUGCAGACCUUUGAGAUCUGAAUCCUCCACUGUUCUCCUCCUGUAGGUGGGCACCAGUUACAAACCCGAAGAGCAACGCUGUCAGCAGCCUCCUUCUUGAAGGCAAAGGCCUGCACGAGCAUAACACACACACACACACAUACAUCUGGGCAAUCCAUGUUCCUGAAAACGGGAUUAGAACAAUGGUGCUUUAUAUAGCUAAUGCCUUUACUGCAGCUGGAAUGUCCAUGACAGUGAGGGUUAGUGAAGAAGACCUAUUGCUGGAGUCCGACCGCCUCUUUGUAAUCAGCAGCCCUGCUCUGCAUUAAAGGCAUAAUGAAAAAAGAAGAAGAAGAAGAAGAAGAAAAAAGGAAAAAGCAUAUUACCUGAAACAUUGGAAGGGGCUUGUGCUCACUCUGCUGAGUUAUGGAUGGACAUAUUGAAGCGUGAUUUCCUGGAGAGAGUGUUGACUGGAAGGAAGUCUGGUGCAUUGGUUCUGGCUCUGGGCCCAGCACAAGCCCAAAGGCGGGUCCCACCCUCCCUGGACUACAGCUUCCUCAUCAGAACAGAACUCUCAAAGGCAGGUGGACCAGCCCUGCUCCAGGAAGUCACUCAGGGACCCAGGCUGGUGGAGUGGCUCUGCCAUCCUUGAAAGGUACUUUCCAGACGGCUCCAGUCAUUCCUGUUUCCAGCCAGUAAGAAGAAAGGAGGGAACACAACUGGGCUCCACUUGUGCAGGGAGAGCAUUGUUUUUCACGUGGAAUACAAUGGGCCUGGGCUACUGGCUGUACAUGGAAGGUGCUCAGAAGAUAUUCGUUGAGUGGGUAAAUGAAGGACUAGAAGUGGACGAGAUUGCUCAGUGAUGGCCUUGAUGAGUGAUAGAGUAGGGUAGACAGAAGGCCAGAGAAGAGGAGACCCUGGAGGAAACCGAGAAUGUCUAAGAAGCAGA